rnacentral:lncRNA from 1 species
CUGGUCGCCGCUCUGCAAGUCGCUGCUGCUGCUGGAUCGCCGGUCGCCGCUGCUGCUGGAUCUGCAAGUCGCCGCGCUGCCGGUCGCCGCUGCUGCUCGUUCUGCCGUUCGCCGCUGCUGCCGAUCUGCAAGUCGCGCCGGAUCUUCCUUCGGUGGCGGCAGACCGUGAAGAGAGGCGUCAAGGUCUGGUGGCCGGGAUCCGACUGCGCG